rnacentral:rRNA from 1 species
AACGAACGCUGGCGGCAGGCUUAACACAUGCAAGUCGAGCGCCCCGCAAGGGGAGCGGCAGACGGGUGAGUAACGCGUGGGAACGUACCCUUUGCUACGGAAUAGCUCCGGGAAACUGGAAUUAAUACCGUAUGUGCCCUACGGGGGAAAGAUUUAUCGGCAAAGGAUCGGCCCGCGUUGGAUUAGCUAGUUGGUGGGGUAAUGGCCUACCAAGGCGACGAUCCAUAGCUGGUCUGAGAGGAUGAUCAGCCACGUUGGGACUGAGACACGGCCCAAACUCCUACGGGAGGCAGCAGUGGGGAAUAUUGGACAAUGGGCGCAAGCCUGAUCCAGCCAUGCCGCGUGAGCGAUGAAGGCCUUAGGGUUGUAAAGCUCUUUCACCGGAGAAGAUAAUGACGGUAUCCGGAGAAGAAGCCCCGGCUAACUUCGUGCCAGCCGCCGCCGUAAGAC